AACAAUGUAGUUUAAAUCAAAACAAACGACUUACAAUCGUUAAAUUUAUCAUUCUAU
rnacentral:tRNA from 1 species